rnacentral:rRNA from 1 species
ACGGGGGGGGCAAGCGUUGUUCGGAAUUACUGGGCGUAAAGGGCUAGUAGGCGGCCGACUAAGUCGGAUGUGAAAUCCCCAGGCUCAACUUGGGAACUGCAUCCGAUACUGGUUGGCUUGAAUCCGGGAGAGGGAUGCAGAAUUCCAGGUGUAGCGGUGAAAUGCGUAGAUAUCUGGAGGAAUACCGGUGGCGAAGGCGGCAUCCUGGACCGGCAUUGACGCUGAUCAGCGAAAGCCAGGGGAGCAAACGGGA